rnacentral:tRNA from 1 species
GCGCUCAUGGCCUAAUGGAUAAGGCGUUUGACUUCUAAUCAAGCGAUUGUGGGUUCGAGUCCCAUUGGGCGUG